AGAUUAGACCUUGGGUGAUCAAGUAUCGAACUAAAGAUGGCAAAUGAUCAAUCAAACUAUCGACCUUAAGCCUAGACACAAUUCUAAGCAAGCUCUAUGUCUAGAUGAAUGCUCAUUUGCUGACAUAUCUCAAACAUCAAAUGUCUUUGGUUGAAUAAUGUGAAAGAAAUCAUUACUAACAAGUCUAUUAUCUAUCUUAGCACCUUUAACAACACAUAUCUUUGGCAAAGUAUACUAAAAACCUAGGAGAGUUGUCUCAGGCAUUUCAUCGAACACCUUUCGGGUGGGAAAUACCUAUCGAUCAACUUUUGAGUGGCCAACUCAGAAGAU
rnacentral:lncRNA from 1 species